rnacentral:rRNA from 1 species
GAUGCAGGCGGCUUUUCAAGUCGGAUGUAAAAUCUCCUGGCUUAACUAGGAGGGAUCGUCCGAUACUGUUAGACUAGAGUGCAGCAGAGGAAAGUGGAAUUCCCGGUGUAGUGGUGAAAUGCGUAGAUAUCGGGAGGAACACCAGUGGCGAAAGCGGCUUUCUGGGCUGUUACUGACGCUGAGGUCCGAAAGCGUGGGGAGCGAACAGGAUUAGAUACCCUAGUAGUCCACGCCCUAAACGAUGGACACUAGGUAUGGGGAGUAUCGACCCUCUCCGUGCCGUAGCUAACGCUUUAAGUGUCCCGCCUGGGGACUACGGCCGCAAGGCUAAA